rnacentral:rRNA from 1 species
UGGCUAGAGAGUGGGAGAGGUCAGCGGUAUUCUGGGGGUAGGGGCGAAAUCCUUUGAUCCCCGGAGGACCACCAGUGGCGAAGGCUGCUGACUAGAACACGUCUGACGGUCAGGGACGAAAGCUGGGGUAGCGAACCGGAUUAGAUACCCGGGUAGUCCCAGCCGUAAACGAUGCAUGCUAGGUGUUGGGUUGGCCACGAGCCACCCCAGUGCCGCAGGGAAGCCGUUAAGCAUGCCGCCUGGGAAGUACGAUCGCAAGAUUGAAACUUAAAGGAAUUGGCGGGGGAGCACCACCAGGCGUGAAGCCUGCGGUUUAAUUGGAGUCAACGCCGGGAACCUUACCGGAAGCGACAGCAGAGUGAAGGCCAGAAUGAAGAUCUUGCCAGACGAGCUGAGAGGAGGUG